AACAAGCCCAGAAGGCGGCGGACACUCGCAUAAAGUCACGCAGUAGUACUCGGAGCCCGGGGUAGAACCUGGACUUCAAAUCUCUGCACUCCCGGCCGGGUGGUGGGCGCAUAUCCUGGGUAGCCUCUAGGAAGCGCUAGACACAUGGAACCAAGGCAGAUUCAGCCUGGCAGCUGGCAAGUCAUGGAGCACUGCCUGUCCAUCUGCGAGCUAACAACAGUCGCGCUGGAAGUCAACAAGGGAAAUGGAAAGGGAGAGACCCAGCCUCCACAGGGGCUCACGCCCUGGGACCUGUGCCAGUGUGAACAAGGUUUUCCGGCCCCAGGAAGCAGGCCUAAGUACUCUCAUUUCAUCACUGAGGAGCCUGAGACGUUCAGUCAUUGAUUGGACAGCCCUCACCAUUCAAGCCCUCCUUGGUUUACAGCAGCAGAAAGAGAGGCUCUGAAGGUUCUAGCCAGAGGAAGCUGCAGCCAGGCCUGGCAGUCUCCCCUGCUCCCUUCCACCAGCUUGGUUCCUGUUUCUGCUGGUCCUGGGAGCCCCCAGCAGAUGGACUGCCCUUAUCAGCCGGCUCCAGGCCAGAGGAGGAAUCCUCCGGUCACGUGUGGCUCUCUGGAGGGAGAGAGACCUCAUAAAUACAUACAGCCCACGCAGAGGAAGGGGGGAGGGUCAAGGGGAAAGAAACCUUGACAUUCUGGCGACUGGGCCAGGAUUAAAGUCCACCAGGCAUAGUCCUUAUUGGCUAUUUCUAUGAGGAAUCUCAAAUCCACAUGGCUUCCCUGGAUGACAACGCUGACUUUGACUAGCCCUGGGAUCUGGGGCAUUCCCAGUGUGCUGCUGGCUUGAUCCAGGCCUAAUCCUUUGCCCAGGACUGACCUUUCACAGUUUACAGAGCACUUUAUCUCCUGGCUCAGUGAAGUCUCACAGAACCCUCCAGAGAGAAGGGAGUUUAUCAUCACCCUCAAUUUACAGAUGAGGAAGCUGAGGCUGCGAUUGUAA
rnacentral:lncRNA from 10 species